UACGUAGGGUGCGAGCGUUGUCCGGAAUUAUUGGGCGUAAAGGGCUCGUAGGCGGUUUGUCGCGUCGGGAGUGAAAACCCAGGGCUUAACCCUGGGCUGGCUUUCGAUACGGGCAGACUAGAGGUAUGCAGGGGAGAACGGAAUUCCUGGUGUAGCGGUGAAAUGCGCAGAUAUCAGGAGGAACACCGGUGGCGAAGGCGGUUCUCUGGGCAUUACCUGACGCUGAGGAGCGAGAGUGUGGGGAGCGAACAGG
rnacentral:rRNA from 1 species